AGAUUUUGAAGUUCUGAGUCGAGCGGCUCCAAAAGCUACCACAUGACCAUCACGUCCAUUGUUUUCGUGUUGGCCACCGCGUCUCCUUCCAGCCGCCUCGAAACGCUCUCUUCUGUUGACACUCUGGAAGAGCAAGAAUUCUCCUCGACUGCUUCGGGUUUUGAUCUGUGUUUGAAGGGGGAGUCAUGGAAAAGUAGGUCUGAGGGGGGUGAAGCAGAGCAAGCCUCCGACCUCACACUGAGGGCUCAGCAAGUCGCUUCAUGUUGGCUGUGUGCAGCCGCCUCUUCUCUGUCAGCUUGUUUGAAGCGCCCGUAAAACAAAACAGGCUCAUUAAACACGAGAGGAAGUCCCGGUUGUGUGCCAGGAGGGCAGAUCUGGUCCGCCUUUACCAGGGAUGCCGAGUUUUGACCGAAGUGUGCAAAUAGUUGGGGCUCAAUGUGAGGGAAUGGAUGUAAAAGGAGCACACAAUUAGAAAUCUGUGAGUUUGGAUCACGAUAAAUUUUCUUGCACAGAAAUUCAUCUGAUACUCUUCGAUAUGCGAGGUCUGUAGUGUUCAUCCCCAUCCACUCCUCCCAAAAGGCAAGACCUCCUAUGGGGAAUCAACAAAGCCUGGCACAAUAAGUCCAUGCAGGAUCAAGCCCCCCUCCCCAAUUGCAUCAAGGCUGGUGUGCAGUACUUCCCAACAAUGGCCAUAUUCACAGAGUACUCUGGUACUUGGAGGGAGCUCUCAAUGCAUCCGUGGGGUAGGGAUUAAAAAGGGUUUAAAGUUUCAACCUUCUCGUUUUAUAGAUAAAAUGACCAAGGCACCAUACGCUUGAAUCUCUUAGAAUGCUGGUUCUUCUGCGUUAUACCAGCCAGUGCUGGACAGGGAUACAGUAAGAAUCCUCAAUGAAUGCGUGCCAAUAGAAAAAGUCUAAUUAUAACUUUGACAGUGAAUCAUGCUGUAGUUCCCAGCCAUGGGAACUGCUUCAGAUCAAUGGUUUUCAAGGACAAGAGGAUGGAGCCCUACAGCUGGAGAACAAACAGGCCUUUGUUUUAUUGCCUUUGUUAAUUUGGGUCAUCACCGACUUUGAAUUUCAAACCACAGUCAAAGAGAGCAUAUGAUUUUUAUGUGUACUGAGGAUUGUUGUGCCUAUAAAGUCUUUGCAAGACUUUUUUUCCCUGUGAAUUAAAAAUUAAAAAAAAAAUACUGCUAUCCUCUCCUAGGCAAAAGUUUGCUGAAAAUGGGGUAAUUUUGACUCUGAAAGAGGUGAGUAAAUAAUCAGUUUUUUUUUGUAAAAGUGUAUGACAAGAAGAGUUAUAGGCAGAAAUAAUGUAUCAAGUGAUACCUAAUAGCUGAUGAAUUGAUGAGCAAAAUGUGUAUCUAUGCAAUGAACACAACCAGGAAUGAAUUACAGAUAGAAACUAUGUUGUGAGAAUUACAGAGAAAUGCUUGUCAGUGAUCUCUGAAACAUGCUAAGUGAAGGAAGCCAGACUCAAAAGCCUACAUAUAUAUGUUUCUAUUUAUAGGAAAUGUCAGAGCUAACAAAUCCAGACUGUAGUAGCUCUUACAAGAGUCUGUGACAAGUGGUUCUGGGAGUGACUAGAAUGGGCUUUUCUAGUGAAUAAAAUGCUAUGGAUCUAGAGUGGAGACAGUUGCACAAUUUAGUGAGCAUGCUGCAUCCGCUGAAGUGUGCACUUCGGGGCUGCACACACUAAAGCCAUGCAUCCUUUGAUGUGUGCACUUGCCACAGUUUAAAAAAAGUAACACUUCCGUGGGACUGUCAGUCUUUCAAUGUGUCUGUGAUUUGUGGGUUGGACCAGACUUUGGACUAAAAGGGAAAUUAUCUUUUUGGCAGCUAAUGGCUUCUGUUGAUCCAGAUCUAAUAUGCCAUUUUUGAAGGGAGGCUGGAGGGCCAACAUUUAUGCAUGAGUCUUCUGUAGAUCCCUGUUUCUUCUGCAGUGCCCUGCAGAACUAGAGACAAGUAUGUCUUUUUUAAGAUGGAAAAUCUCGGAUAAUAUCUUAGGCUUUGGAUGAAAUCUCUAAUAAAACUUAGAGUCCCAUAGGCACCAGCACACUGUACAGUAGGGACUUAAUGCUUUGCAGCAACAUCUGCCUUAAGACUGAUCAUUAAGUAAUAAUCAACACAAAUAUUGUAGAUCCUCACUUCCUAAAGUGUUCUUGUAUUCAACUCUUAACUUGAGUGCUUUAUCCAAAUGGGAGGACAUCUAGAUUGGUUAAAAAUGGAAAAGUUUGUGCCAAUCUCUAAUUUAUGUGGACUGUAGACCUUGUGUGGCAGGUGAGAGGCUAUUCCCCACAGUCCAGCAGUCCUGUGGCUGCCCAGCAGGAUAUUGUGCUGUCUGUGUUUCUGUGUCCUGCUGUGGCUGAAACCCACCCCAAGUCCUUACACACAGGGACUGGUAUUUUGUUCCCCAGUGAAUAGUCUUUUUGACAAUUCUUUCACAUUUAGUCAACUCUGAAAGACAUUUGUUUUCAGCAGUGAGGUUACUUGUGACAUUUUUACUUGUGGCAUGAUUGUAAUAGUCUUUGUAUGUCUUAUUUCCUACUUUAUUAUAUAUAUAUAAAAUAUAAAGAUUGUUCUUGCUCUGACAAUUACAAUUGAUUUUUCUCAAUACAUAAAAAUUAUAUCAUCUCUU